UUCCAUUCUUUAUCAUCAACCCCUUCUGGUUUUUCUUCCUCAAUGGCAAUAUCUAGACCUUGUUGAAAGAGGGCAUCUAGAAGCUCACUUUGCCACAUGCCGAAAUGACCUGUUCCAUCAAAAAUUUCCACUGCAAAUCUCGUAUUUGCAGUUCCAACCCUCGACAAAAUGUACGAGGUGGAAGUUGUUGAUGUGGAUGGUUUUUCUUCUGUCAUUUUUGCCAUAGCUUCUAUUUAAUAGCCACCAAAUGCGGAAUACCCACAAGCUUUAGGAAAUGUUUCUGAUGUGUAAGAUCAGAC
rnacentral:lncRNA from 1 species